UACGAAGGGUGCAAGCGUUGCUCGGAAUUAUUGGGCGUAAAGGGUAGGUAGGUGGUCAUACAAGUCUGGGGUGAAAUCCCUGAGCUCAACUCAGGAAGUGCCUUGGAAACUGUAUGACUAGAGUGCUGGAGAGGUUCGCAGAAUUCCCGGUGUAGCGGUGAAAUGCGUAGAGAUCGGGAGGAAUACCAGAGGCGAAGGCGGCGAACUGGACAGCAACUGACACUCAACUACGAAAGCGUGGGUAGCAAACAGG
rnacentral:rRNA from 1 species